rnacentral:rRNA from 1 species
UACGUAGGGCGCAAGCGUUGUCCGGAAUUAUUGGGCGUAAAGAGCUCGUAGGCGGCUUGUCACGUCGGGUGUGAAAGCCCGGGGCUUAACCCCGGGUCUGCAUUCGAUACGGGCUAGCUAGAGUGUGGUAGGGGAGAUCGGAAUUCCUGGUGUAGCGGUGAAAUGCGCAGAUAUCAGGAGGAACACCGGUGGCGAAGGCGGAUCUCUGGGCCAUUACUGACGCUGAGGUGCGAAAGCGUGGGGAGCAAACAGG